AAUGAACGUUGGCGGCGUGGAUUAGGCAUGCAAGUCGAGCGAGAAACCUCCUUCGGGAGGUGGAAAGCGGCGAAAGGGAGAGUAACGCGUGGAUACCUGCCCUCGGGUUCGGGAUAGCUGCUGGAAACGGCAGGUAAUACCGAAUGAUAUCUCCGGAUCAAAGGUGUGAUUCCGCCCGGGGAUGGGUCCGCGUCCUAUUAGCUAGUUGGUGAGGUAACGGCUCACCAAGGCAACGAUGGGUAGUGGGUGUGAGAGCACGACCCACCUCACUGGGACUGAGUCACUGCCCAGACACCUACGGGUGGCUGCAGGCGAGGAUCUUCGGCAAUGGGCGCAAGCCUGACCGAGCGACGCCGCGUGCGGGAUGAAGGCCUUCGGGUUGUAAACCGCUUUCGGAGGGGAUGAAAUGCGUGGGGGUUCUCCCCCACGUUUGACAUAGCCUCUAAAGAAGUACGGGCUAAGUUCGUGCCAGCCGCCGCGGUAAGAC
rnacentral:rRNA from 1 species